rnacentral:rRNA from 1 species
UACAGAGGUGCCGAGCGUUAGGCGGAAUCACUGGGCUUAAAGCGUGUGUAGGCGGACUUCUAAGUACCUUGUGAAAUCCCACGGCUUACCCGUGGAACUGCUGGGUAUACUGGUCGUCUUGAGCCACCUAGGGGCCAGCGGAACAAAUGGUGGAGCGGUGAAAUGCGUAGAUAUCAUUUGGAACGCCAACGGUGAAAAACAGCUGGCUGGGGGGUGUGCUGACGCUGAGACACGAAAGCCAGGGGAGCGAACGGGG